AUGGCAGCUCCGUCCGCCAAUCGGCCGCGGGCCCCUGCCGCGGGAGCCGGCCUAACCCUGCCCGGCCCGCAGCCCUCCCUGGCAGUCCCAGGCUCUGUAUCUCUUCCUGCCGCUGCUCCUCGCCUCGCCUGUACCCAGCCCCCAGGAGCUCGGAGGUGCGGAGGAAGAGAACAGAUGUGUCAUUUAUCAGUCGGUGGCUUGCUGGCUGCCUCCUUGGAAGCACUUUUGGUGUGGCAGUUUCCCCCUCCCAGUCCUCAUGUCCCCUGCUGUAACCAGAGCUGUGGGGAAGCUGUGCAUGGCUUGUGUCGGGUAGCUCUGAGGACAGAAAGAGCUGGAGAUGCUACAGACAUUCUUGGGCUUUUAUCCAAAGCUGUGGAAGAAGCACCUGAAGGUUCACAGAACCACACACCCCCCUGCAAUCCAGGGACGCGCUGGUGUCAGGGGUAGCAGCCUGUCUCAGUGCCUGACUCAAGUGACGAUGGUGGCAAGUAUCAAACACUAAAUCCAGGCCCCACAUCACCUGCAGGUGAAUCCUCUUCUUGUGCCUCCUCCGGAGCACGCAAGAGCAGAGAUGUUCCCCUCUGAGUCACCAAAAACCCACAGUCAUGAAUUGGGCACUGAACCCAGGCCUCUGCUACCUGUGGAACCUGCAGGAUGCUGGGCCGCAGCCACUUAAACUGGAAGGGCACCAAGGAAACCACGGGGACCAUGAAGCCUGGGCCCUUCCAGACCUCAGAGAAGGUCCCAUGUCCUCUUUUUGGCCUGGAAAGCAAAACAGGGCUCCCAUCCCCAGCUCUGGAUGAGCCUAAGGAGUGCUCAGACUGGCUGAGGCAGCUCCUUCCAUCAGCUGGGAGGGCAGAUGAGGGUUGAGGGCAUGCACAUGGCUGGCGAUGGCCCAGAAGGCUUUACCUGGCUUUCCCUUCCUGGUGCAAGCUCCAACCUGCCUGGGAAGUGUUUACACAGGAAAUGGUGAUAGAAAGGACUGUGCUGUGAGCCCCAGCCCAAAGGCAACAGGGAAGAGCUCUUGAGAUGGAGGCGGAUGGCAGGAAACGGAGGAUGGGAGCAGAGUUCCCACCCAGGCCUCUGUAAGAUGACCUCCUGUCUCACCUCUUUUAGCACCCUGUGAGCCAAAAAUCACUUCUGUGCGGCCAUGGAGCGCUCACCUCCCCGCCAAAGGCUGCAAAUGGUGGCUCCUCUGCCAUCUUCCCUGGGGCUGAGGGCAGCAUCCUGCCAGGGGCCACUUGCCGUGGCUGUGAGAGAGCAGACAAAAUGUUGAGUCUGGCACACAAGUGUGCUCCUGCUCCUCUCCCAUCUGUCAGCCCUGUGCCCCUUGCCAAGUCCUCCACGAGCAAUGCUACGUGACAGCCAUCUGUCACAGGGCCUGGCCACGUGGCCUCGCAGAUUGAGUAGCAUUGAGGCCACGGAUGUGGCACUGGGGCCGGUUGCU
rnacentral:lncRNA from 1 species